rnacentral:misc_RNA from 1 species
GAUGAAGAACGCAGCGAAAUGCGAUAAGUAAUGUGAAUUGCAUAAUUCAGUGAAUCAUCGAAUCUUUGAACGCACAUUGCGCCCGCUAGUAUUCUGGCGGGCAUGCCUGUCCGAGCGUCAUUUCAACCCUCAAGCCCCCGGGCUUGGUGUUGGGGAUCGGCGAGCCUCCGCGCCCGCCGUCCCCUAAAUCUAGUGGCGGUCUCGCUGUAGCUUCCUCUGCGUAGUAGCACACCUCGCACUGGGAAACAGCGCGGCCACGCCGUUAAACCCCCAACUUCUGAACGUUUGACCUCGGAUCAGGUAGGAAUACCCGCUGAACUUAAGCAUAUCAAUAAGCGGAGGA